rnacentral:rRNA from 1 species
UACGUAGGUGGCAAGCGUUGUUCGGAUUUACUGGGCGUAAAGGGCGCGUAGGCGGCGCGGUAAGUCACUUGUGAAAUCUCUGAGCUUAACUCAGAACGGCCAAGUGAUACUGCAGUGCUAGAGUGCAGAAAGGGCAAUCGGAAUUCUUGGUGUAGCGGUGAAAUGCGUAGAUAUCAAGAGGAACACCUGAGGCGAAGGCGGGUUGCUAGGCUGACACUGACGCUGAGGCGCGAAAGCCAGGGGAGCAAACGGG